GUGUUGGCCAUUUAAAGCUGUUCUCUGUUAAACGCGAAAASGAAUGACCAUUGAAAAUCACUCAAAAACAUUGGGUUGUGUUUUUGGUGUAUAAUCGGAUCAAUCUAGACAGGUGUCCUGGGAUACAAAUAACAACACGAUGACACUGCAGAAAGAGAGAGAGGAGUGCUGUCUAUCGCGUGAACAACCAUCUCUAUCUAUAAGGAGUCAUGACUGAACCGAACCUUUUUGUCAAAAAACUUUAAUACCCUGUUCAACACUGAAGUCCUAAUAAAAGAAU